rnacentral:rRNA from 1 species
AUUGAACGCUGGCGGCAUGCCUUACACAUGCAAGUCGAACGGUAACGGGCCUUCGGGUGCCGACGAGUGGCGAACGGGUGAGUAAUACAUCGGAACGUGCCCGAUCGUGGGGGAUAACGUGGCGAAAGCUUUGCUAAUACCGCAUACGAUCUACGGAUGAAAGCAGGGGACCGCAAGGCCUUGCGCGGACGGAGCGGCCGAUGGCAGACUAGGUAGUUGGUGGGAUAAAAGCUUACCAAGCCGACGAUCUGCAGCUGGUCUGAGAGGAUGAUCAGCCACACUGGGACUGAGACACGGCCCAGACUCCUACGGGAGGCAGCAGUGGGGAAUUUUGGACAAUGGGCGCAAGCCUGAUCCAGCCAUGCCGCGUGCAGGAUGAUGGCCUUCGGGUUGUAAACUGCUUUUGUACGGAACGAAAAGCCUUCUUUUAAUACAGGAGGGUCAUGACGGUACCGGAAGAAUAAGCACCGGCUAACUACGUG